CGCGUAGUCAAUGGCCGCGAAGCGAGUGUUCGCGAAGAAGGGCCAACGAGUGGACCUUAAUGGAUAAUCUUCUGCCAACCACAGUGGUAGACGUCAAGGCAGAUCCAAGACGACGGCUGUCGACGCUAAAGCAGGUUCAGGGAGACGGCAUACCCAAUCCGAAGUAAUCUGCCACUGUUUCUACGAAGAAUCAAGCUCAAUCCCCAUUGACCCAGCGAUUGGUUGUGCUUUUUGUGGAUAAAGUGAUCUUCUGUGGGCUGUUCUGGUGAGCUUUCAUCACAAGUCUGAGAACAUGAGACAUGCACACAAGGUGUUUGAUGGAAUGCCUGAGAGAAACCUCCUAUGAAGAUGAUGUGCGCAGACUUUGGGGGCAGAACUGUUGCCUCAAGAUUACAGAGGAGGAUUACAAUCCUUAACAGAACAAACUAGCAUUCUCGUGAUGAUGAAAUUUCACAGAGUUUGAAGAUAGAGCAGGGGCAGACAAAAAUCAUUUCGCCAGAGUAGUGUUCCUUGACUAUUGCUUCACAAAUUCACUCUGGGAUGUUGCCACAGGUCAGCGGAUUGAUAAUCUGGACGCCGGCAAGUGGCUUUAGUGGAAGUAGGCCAAUUGCAAUGGCAGCAUACAUUGGUUCGCACAGAAGCGAAUACAUGGGGUGCUGCAUAGCUCCAGUUUGUUUUGGAAGAUUCAGAGGUUCAGAGCCAACUAGUGGCUUUUGCCUACAUAUAUAUAAGUAUAUUUGAGUGCCUAGGAGUGCAUAAUCAGGCCAUCAGACUCUUGCAGUCUUCUUGAUCGAUGGUGAACCAACAAUGAAAAAUCAUGGUAGCGGUAUAUAUGUUCUUUGUAUCUACGAAGUCAUGGGUCAAUGGAGUACGAAAUACUGGUCAAGUUUGGUGGCUAUAUUAUACUCAUUGAGUCAGAGGUGUUCAGAGGAGCUUUCUUAAGCUUAUAUAAUUGAGAAGGGCUAUCGUUAUGGUCAAGAAGAAAUUUUUGAAGCGGUGAAGAGGCGGUGCAUUCUGACACUACAUACUAAAUAUAUAGCCUACAUGGUGGCUUAUAUUAAUGAUGCAUGAUGGUAUGAAAUGGCUACAGCACGUUCUUAUCCACUAGGAACAAGAUAGGCUUUAUUGAUUAGCCUAAUGGUUUAUAUAUAUAUAUUUGUAUAAAGCUGCUACAGAGGCAUGAUCAUGAUGCCUGAGCCACAUAUAAAGAGGAGGAGCACGUGGCCAUGCGGUAUUAAAGGUUGGUUCAAUUGUCAACACCUGCCGGUCUAUAACCAACAAGGAGACGAAAUGGGGUUACAAGGAAGAAGCCCUCUGCAAUAAUGACACGGAUGUAAACACUCUGCCAAGGGGUUGGUCACUGCGUGCGAAGAGUCCAGAAAGGAUAAUUAUAGCAGUAAGCUCGCGAGCGUUCAUAGCCGAAGCCCAUUCUCAUCACCGCGAAGGGUCGCGAGCAGUUUGAAGACUUCAUGAGGCAGAGAGUAAGCGCAACAAAUAAAAAAUAUAUUUCGCGACCAGCAUGUUAGAGCAAGUUCACCCGUAGUCAAGAAAUGUCAAGGUUGAAAAGUCAAGAAUUCGACCAGUCAAGUUACUGUUCACUGGACAUGGUUUUCCACCCGUUUUUUCUUGACCGGUCAAUACUGUUCAUGUUGUCACUGUUCAUUGAUUUUUACUGUUCAUUUUCACUGUUCAUUACGUUUUA